rnacentral:rRNA from 1 species
GACAGAGGUGCCGAGCGUUAGGCGGAAUCACUGGGCUUAAAGCGUGUGUAGGCGGAUGGGUAAGUACCUUGUGAAAUCCCACGGCUCAACCGUGGAACUGCUCGGUAUACUGCUCGUCUUGAGCCAACUAGGGGCGACCGGAACAAACGGUGGAGCGGUGAAAUGCGUAGAUAUCGUUUGGAACGCCGAUGGUGAAAACAGGUCGCUGGGGUUGUGCUGACGCUGAGACACGAAAGCGUGGGGGAGCGAACAGG